GGUUUGUUUAUGUCGCAUCCAUAGAAAAGAGUCGCACAUGCAUCUUCAAUAGGUGAAUUCUUGUUUUAGAUUGCAAUGUCAUUCUUUUUCUUUUGCAAUAUAAAGGUUAAAACACUUAUUUAACAAGAUGAAAAGAAACACCAAUAAAUAAAUAGUUAUUUAGAGCAAAUAUAACAUAAAUUAGAUUUUUUUUUUUUUUUUUUAAAACAAGAUAUGCAAUAUCGGACAGAGAUGCCAAAAGGUUACAAGAAAGCCUACCAAAGAGGCAAACAAACUGCAGCAAAUACUAAAGAAAAGUAGUACAAGAAGGUACAAGUUUGACGAACAAAAAGAUCGUUACCAUUACUCAUCUUAUCCAUCGGCUUGACAUGUUAUAUUUUCCAUUUUUAUAACUU
rnacentral:lncRNA from 1 species